CUGGUCUUACUAGUUGUCCAAGGCUCUGAUCUUGAUCACUGAAGCACUCUUGAUCACCAUGAAUUGCUCUCUGUCUAUAUCCGAUCAUCGAUCAUCAACACACAACAACCGGAGACAACAUACACAAAGCAAUCAAGGCUACAAUUAGAACAGUACACCAAUCAAUAAAAAGAGUUGAAAACUAAUCUGGGCAUUACUAUGAACACACAGACACAAAAAGCAUGCUAAUCGGAAUUGCGAUGAAUAAGAAACGACUACCGAGACUUCAAUAUUAUAUUAAAGAAAAAGCCCAUAUAUAUAUACUCGACUUAUUAUUUCAAUUUUAAUUAAGAAAAACUAUGUGAAAAACUAUUUAGAUCAGGUUAGGCAAAACAUAAUUUAAUUCAAAAGCU
rnacentral:lncRNA from 1 species